AGUCGAGUCAGAUCCUAAUUGCCAUGUGUUUCCGCUGCCCCAGCGUCCUGUGGCCGUCUCUGAUUCCUCUGCUGUGGCAGUUUGAGAAGCAUUGUUCACACUUAGCUGUUUGUGGUCUGCCAACCAUUGCCCAAACAGAAGAGGAGCAGCACCUGUCAUCUCCCCAGACCCAGUGACUCCAGUAUUUCAAAGAGUUUAUUUUUUAAGGGGAGGUCAUUUUGGUCCCCUUAACACUCAGCAAGAGCCCUUGAUUUGAAGCUGUAGACACUACCUUCAGCGAGAAAGCCCCAUGGCAUCGUCAUGCUGGGAACCAGGAGAGCAAGGGGGCCUGGUUGCCCCAUCCCAGCGUGGCAGGGGAGAGGCUGGGAGCUGUCAGCUCCUGGCACGGCAGCCACGGCCUCGUCGCUAGCAGUGAUUGCCAUGUACUGAUGCUUGGCCCAUCUGAAGUCCUCCAAGAACUCCUUCACUAUUGUCGUCCUUAUUUCACCGAGAAGAUUCGCACCUUGCCCACAGUAGGACGUGAUACCAUGAGAAAACCUGAUUUUCUAGAGGAAAUGCAGAAGGAGGACUGCUGCCUUGAGAUUACCUGCUGGAGACAGAGAAACUGGCUAUUCUGUUACUUCCGGGAGAUCUGAAUUCCAGCGGACUUCCAUAGCAGGUCAAUAACAUCUUGUUUUGUCUUGGCAACAGUUCACGACUCCUCCCUCAAGCUUUGCUAGAGUGUAAGCAAUGACUUGUUUCUGCUAAGGGUUCCUCCACAACUUGGAAGGGAGCUGGCACCUCUUUCCCAGCCACCUUAACCUUUCCUUGGGUAAAACACUCACAUAGGAAUUAAACAUUCAUCACUGGCCACACACACACCAAUCAUGCUGUUUUGCUUUUUUAAAAUUCACUCUUCCCUGGGCUUUUACUUUUUUCUUUUGUUUUGUUUUGUUUUCAGUUGGGAACUGCCCAACCCCACUUUGCUAAGCUGAAACUAACCUUUCCACUCGGCAAAAAGGGCAUCUUUGCCUAAGCAGAUGGUGAUGUGCACUGGUGUGUGCAAUUUAUUUCCAUGUCACUGAGCAUUACAGACUUUGCAGAAGCAGUUUCAAAUAUAUUUUAAAAUAAAAUAUGAUGCAUUGGGUUAUGGUCUGUGUGGAUUAUUUUAAAGGCAGGUGUGCCCCUCUCUUCUUGCUUUAAGAGCUAACGGUAGGUAAGCAACCCAAGUCGUACUUGCAAAGUCAUGAUUCACCAUUUGGGAAGGGAUAGGGGCUAAAAUUUAGCUUCACCAGCAUAACAGCUUCAAUCAACUUCCAGCCAUGUCGCUGACAUCAAUCAGUGAAAUAGAAAGGCAUGGUGACAGAACCUUCUCCUAAGAAAACGUUCGUUACCCAUCACAUCAUAUGAUAUAUUAGAAAAGAAAUUGUCAAAAGCUUCACCAGAUGAAAUCAACAUCUGAGA